AAUUUUUCCUGUAUUCUAACAUGGUGCUAAAUGCUUUUCGUGGUUUACCGUAUUUGUCUGACCAAGGCCCUUGUGACUGUGACUCUCCCUGAUUUCAAAUAAGGAAGCAGACCUUCCGAUAGACAAGUGGCUUGCCCAGGGCCACGCAGCUAGAAGCUACCAAGAUCUGUCUGGUUCCACAUGGCCUCCAAGAGUGGCUUGGCUCUGAACCAAACUCACACUACUUCAAGAGUGGGUGUGAGCCCGUGAAUAUGAUUGUUGGUGAGCCAAUUUCUGACCUUACAGCCUGAAACCCUCCCCAUCACCACUCCCCAGUCUGCCGCCAAAACCAAAUAAUACAACCUGCUUAGGCUACGGAACGGCCAGCACUGUGAGCUGCCACCAGCAGCCCCUAGCCCUCUUCCUCCUGUGUAGCUAACGGCUGAUUUGCUCCCCCACUUUACAGAACUGCGACUGUUAGGGGAAGCCCAGCCUCUUCCAGGUCCUCACAGGAAGUGGGGGUGAGAAAUGUUGAUUCGUUUAAGAUGAUUCAGUACCUGCCCUCUGCCAAAUUUCGAUAAGGGCAAGUAAUGCAAUUCUGUCUAGUGAAAUAUGAGCAGCUAUUGUUUUGAGCUUUAUUUAUGUGAGUGGGGCUGUGGGGUCAGUCAGAACACCCCCACUCCUUUUCCAGCUUCACUGUUUCCUAAACCUGACUUCAGGCGAAUGGACGGUCCUUCCAGGUUUCAGUUUCCUCCACUGAAAAGGAAGAAAAUAAUGACACACAUUCACAGGGCCAUGAUGAUGACCAAAUGAAUCAUGUCAAGUGCUGAGAACUGUACCAGCGACAAAGGCUGCCUCCAGACCCACCUGGUUCCCACCUGUGAUGGAAGCUAUCCGAGAGAACGAGAGGAUGCCCAAGACAGAAGCCGGAGCCUUUUUAUAAUCUUACCUCAAAAAUGACAUCCCAAUACUUCUGUCACCUCUGCUCACAAGAAGCAAGUCACUAAAGCCAGCCCACACUCAGGGCCACUCCUACACUUGGCCGUGAAUUCCAGGAGACACCCAGAAGACAGCCCUCACCGCCAGGCCGGCCUCCUGGAUCUCAGACUUGCAGCCUCCAAGACGACGAGAAACAGUCCUAUUGUUCAGGACGCCCCAGCCUGCGGGAUUUUGUAAUGCUGUCAGCAGGGACGAAGACGCCUCUCCCCAGCAGUCACGGCGCCCUCUCCUCAAGCUGGUAGGCUUUAAACAUGCGCUGUAGUCCUUGACUGUCAUUUUGGAUGAGUUUCAGGUGGCAAUAGAGAUAAACAUGUGUUUUAAUAGCGUGUUUAACCAAAUGUCUCUCCCCCAGUUUUAAAUAUUUUUAUAAAUAGCUUCGUUGCUUCUGCCGUUUGUUAGAAUAUUAUAUGCUUCACUUCAAAAUAGUCUCAUGCUAAGGACAACUGAAAAUCACACCUCUUACCUACAAGCAGGGCUCCACA